AUAUUUUAAUGGGGAGCAAUACAGCAGUUGAGUUAGGAAGAUGCAUUCAAGUCCUGGCUCCAACAGUGUCGAGCUGUGUGUCCUUGAACGUGUUAUUUAAUUCAGAGCCUUGGUUUCUUCAUCUGUACAGACUCUGCAGCUGCCUCGCUCCUCCGGCCAUGGUCAAGGUGAAAGAAAGAUAGGCCUGGAAGGUACUCAGCACAGUGCCAAGACACCAGCCCCACCUAGGCUGGGGGAGUUCCUCUUCUGUUCUCUUCAGGGCCACCUGGGGUCAUGUUGCUGUUCCCAAACCACUUCCUGAGGCUACCUGGGACCCCUCUGCCUAGACAAGCCUCACCACACAGGGCCAGUCUGCUCCUGCUCAGUGUCUCUGAUUUGGUUGCAUGGACCCUGAUGAUUUUCAGAUUUUUUGACCUCAGAGCACAAGCAGUCAAGAAGUCACAUCUGAGAACAUCUAAGAAGAGUUUUAAAGCCAAGAGGAUCCAAUUGUAAAGUCUAUGUUCGUUUAUUUUGAAAAUCGUGUCCCUUAUAGAUGGGUCAUGUCAUUGCUGCUACUUUUGAGAACUGCACUGAAUUAACUUCUUUAUGCUUGUCAUUUUAUGCCUGGUUUCUGG
rnacentral:lncRNA from 1 species